GGUUGUAGCUCAGUGGUAGAGUGCUUGCCUAGCACAUGUGAGGCACUGGGUUUGAUCCUCAGGACCA
rnacentral:tRNA from 1 species